CCUACGGGCGGCAGCAGUGGGGAAUAUUGGGCAAUGGGCGCAAGCCUGACCCAGCAACGCCGCGUGAAGGAAGAAGGCUUUCGGGUUGUAAACUUCUUUUAAGAGGGAAGAGCAGAAGACGGUACCUCUUGAAUAAGCCACGGCUAACUACGUGCCAGCAGCCGCGGUAAUACGUGGGUGGCACGCGUUGUACGGAUUUACUGGUUGUAAAGGGCGGGUAGCCGGGCUGACAAGUCAGAUGUGAAAUCCCGUGGCUCAACCACGGAACUGCAGUUGAGACUGUCGGUCUUGAGUAUCGGAGAGGCAGGCGGAAUUCCUAGUGUAGCGGUGAAAUGCGUAGAUAUUAGGAGGAACACCAGUGGCGAAGGCGGCCUGCUGGACGACAACUGACGGUGAGGCGCGAAAGCGUGGGGAGCAAACAGGAUUAGAUACCCUGGUAGUC
rnacentral:rRNA from 1 species